UGAUCCUACGGGGGGCAGCAGUGGGGGAUAUUGCACAAUGGGGGAAACCCUGAUGCAGCGACGCCGCGUGGGUGAAGAAGCGCCUCGGCGCGUAAAGCCCUGUCAGCAGGGAAGAAAAUGACGGUACCUGAGUAAGAAGCACCGGCUAAAUACGUGCCAGCAGCCGCGGUAAUACGUAUGGUGCAAGCGUUAUCCGGAUUUACUGGGUGUAAAGGGAGCGUAGGCGGCGCGUUAAGUCUGAUGUGAAAACCCGAGGCUCAACCACGGGAGUGCAUUGGAAACUGGCGGGCUGGAGUGCCGGAGAG
rnacentral:rRNA from 1 species